rnacentral:tRNA from 1 species
UCCUCGUUAGUAUAGUGGUGAGUAUAUCCGCCUGUCAAUUCCGCAAUUGGUCGGUUGAGCAGGACGCGGAAGACACGGGUUCGAUUCCCGUACGGGGAG